UGCGCAGGCGGACCUAUCAGUCAGUGGUGAAAUCCCGGGGCUCAACUCCGGAACUGCCAUUGAUACUGUAGGUCUUGAGUUUGGUUGAAGUGGGCGGAAUGUAGCAUGUAGCGGUGAAAUGCAUAGAUAUGCUACAGAACACCGAUCGCGAAGGCAGCUCACUAAACCAAAACUGACGCUCAGGCACGAAAGCGUGGGUAGCGAACAGGAUUCGAUACCCUGGUAGUC
rnacentral:rRNA from 1 species